rnacentral:rRNA from 1 species
AUGGGGCUCUGCAUGUCCAGCGGCAGCGCGCCGGCGGCGGUUCGGGCAAAGGGGCAGCUUGCCUGGACGGCUGGCCAGGUGCUGCUUCCAACGGGGGAGCUGCGGGAGUACCCGCGCCUGGCCACAGCGGGCCAGGUGCUCGACGACUCGGUGGCUGGGGACGCCGGUUGGUUCCUGUGCGACGCCGACGAGAUGGGGUUCGAUGGCCCCGUGGCCGCCGUGGCCGAGGCCGAGGAGCUCCGCCCGGGGCAGAUAUACUUCGUUCUCCCCGCUGAGGCUCUACGGAACGGCCUGCGGCCCGAGGACCUCGCCGCUCUCGCCGUCAGGGCGUCCGCGGCGCUCAUUAUUAAGGCCAACACCGCAGCAUCCUCUGCCACCGCUGGUCGACGGAGGCGCGCUGGCUCCGUGGCGCCGCUCGUUUUCGCUCCUCCCCAGGAGGUGAACGAGACCGUCGCCUACAAGACCGUGCCGGCGCUGGCGACGAAGCGGCGGCCGGUGGCGCGUGCGAAGAGUGCCGGGAGGAUGCAAUCGCGCUUCGCACCCGAUCUGACCGCCAUUCCCGAGUGCGAGUGA